UCCUCGUGCUUCCCGCCCCCGCCCUGAGCGGAGCGGCUCGUCGCGCGGGGCGCUGGGUGGGCCGGCGACAGGUGGCCGGACAUCAGGUGGCAGGUCCGAAGGGCGGCCUGCGCCGGCACGCCCCGCCCCGCCCAGGUGUGGCGGGCAGAGCCGGCGUCCCCGUCGGUACGAUUAUCAACAACAACGACGGCCCCGGUCAAAGCACGUGCUCACCUGCGGCGCGGACGCCGGGCGGGGCGCGGGUGGCGUCGGAGGCCGGCCCCCCCCCCCCCCCCCCCCCGGGAGGAAGCGGGGUCGGGCGCGACCGCCGCAGAGGACGCGGGAGCCGGGCGAGGUUGGGCCGAGAGCCCGAGGCCGCCCCUCCGCACCUGGCCCCGCGCUCUCCGUGACGGAUUCCAGGUCAGGGCCGGAAACGCCACCGCCGCCAGCGCAGACAAGGUGGCGCCACCCAAACACCUGCUGGGCUGGGCCUGAGAAAGUGGCCCCAGGGGCGAGGCAGUACCCUCGCUCUAGGGUGUCCCUUGACGGAGCCUUCCACACCCUGGAGGUUUCAGCAGCCCUAAAACCACAGCGACACCGGCAGGCUCUGCACAGCAGAGGGAAAGUCACCGUUCACUGCGACCCGCGGAAUGUCAUCGGAUGGAAAGCACUGCUGAAGAAAGUGAAAACGCAAAGAAGUUUGCCAUUGACGAGAGACGCGCGUAGAGUUCGGUCUCCAGAUGAGGCUAAGCUGUGUCAAAACAAAACAAAACAAAGCAAAGCAAAACAAAAAGCACCCACGCGCGCCCUCCACGACAGGUUUAGUGUGGGAUCGUGCAACUCGGAGCAACACGGGAGGCAUUAUUGUAACCUCAGUAAAAUGGAGUACUUCUUGGAAACCGUGCUGAUCGCUAUGGAGCUCUGAGAGGCAGGACACUUUCGGGGUUCCUUUUCUAGAACAGGCAGGGCUAUUAUAAUGAUCCUAUUAAUCGGAAAUCAUUAGGAACAUUUGCACAGCGAAGCUGUAUUUACAUACACUGCCCUUGAGAGGCUGCCGGUCUGUGCCUUGCAGUGUGGGUGGCAAAGUAAUGUGAUUAAUUAUGCACAAAUCUGAUUUCUCGUGUCACAUUCCAGCACUGAUAGUAUUUUUUAAGUUUUGCGAAAGGGAGGUGGCUCUAGCCGUUGACCGAAGUCUUCCCACUUAAAAAAAAAUUGUUAUGUAUGAGGUUUGAAAUCCUUCCAGCCCUAGUACUGGAUGCAGCUUCAGGUUUUGGGUUGUUUUUUUUUUUUUUUCCUUUUUUCCCUCUGUAAAUCUGUAGGAAGUUCUUCCUGCAGUCUAAAGUUUGCAGCUUAUUUAAAUACCUUCCAGUUAAUU